UAAGGUAAACUAUACUAAAUCGUAAUCUGGGACCAUUUCGUCGUCUGCUUCACAAUAAGCGGGCAACCACGUAAUGAGCCAAUAGACUUUCUGUUGCCUGCAUUUUCAUGUUUCCAUGUUUCCAUGUAUAGUCAGUCUGUCGGCUCCCAAUUUAUGUGCUGUCACCCGACAAAGACCCUUGGUCCCUCCACGGAAGGACAAAUCUAGAGAUAGAUGGAUGAAUGGAUGAGGAGGAGGUAGGAAGAUGAAUAAAGAGAAAGGAAGGAAGAAUGGAAGGGAGGAGGGAGGUCUGGCAGUCCCCCGGGCGUCGUUGUUGCUGGGAAAACGUAUCGUACCGUCCACACUUCUCUUGCCUCUCAAAGUGUGUAUAUCUCGUUUCCAACACUAAUAUGCCAGCAGAUGCUAUAUUCAGCUAUAAUCGUCCAUUUCUUUGUUGAAAAAAGUAUCAAUGAUAACGCUAUUAACGCAAAUCGAAUGCAUUUACUAAGUUACCUGAGGUAUCUGUAAGUUACCGCACACUUUACAGAAUCUUAAACCUUUCUGGAUCCAACGUAUACGUUACAAAACCUUUCUGGAUCCACUGGUAGCGUACAAUGUUACGUAAGCUGACUUACAGAAUUGUAACGCGUUUCUGGAUUCCACUCCAGGACAGUUUUCUUCUCCUUUUUUUGUGUUAACGUUGGAAGUCCAAAGGCUGGGGGGGGACAAGCAAUCUCCGCGCCGUUAAAACUUGAAGCACGUUUUCACUCUUCACGAAACAAGUUUUUGUGUCCUGUUGGCCUAUAGUUGUGUUCUAGUUAGUCCCAGGUACAGCCCAGUCGGGCUCUGGUGAACUGCGUUCAUGUUCGAUCGGUAGGUAAUAUGAUAGUGUUUUUGAUUAUGCUGUCUUUUAGUUGCUUCAUUUUAUCAACUGACAAACCCAUGGCUCAUUAUAUACAGAAAAGCAUUACCUUUAUGCCUCUGAUAUACAUAAGAAAGCAGUAUGUACGAUAUAUGUGUGUGUGUGUGUGUGUGUGUGUGUGUGUGUGUGUGUGUGUGUGUGUGUGUGUGUGUGUGUGUGGUGCGGGUGCUGGAGGAAAGGAGUCUUGCAAUACCAUCACCAUUAUCUAACAGGCAUCAUACGUACAUGUGUUAAUCGUGCUUCACAUGAGUUGUGUAUUCGAAUACGAAUACGAAUACUUCAAAUUCCAACGAAUACGAAUUCAUUUUUUUUACAGCAAAGGAGACAGUUCAAGGGCAUAAAAAAGAAAACAAUACUGAAAAAAGAAGCCCGCUUCUUACUGCUCCGAAAAAGAGUGCAGAGCAGUGGCCGAAAGAGAGGUCAAUUUCGGGAGGAGAGGUGUCCUGAUACCCUCCUCUUGAAAGAGUUCAAAUCGUAAGGCAGGAGGAAAUACAGAUGAAGGAAGAUUGUUCCUGAGUUUAUCAGCGUGAGGGUUGAAAGAGUGAAGAUGCUGGGUAACUCUUGCAUAAGGAGUUUGGACAGUAUAGGGAUGAUCAUGAGUAGAAAGUCGUGUGUAGCGAGGCCGCGAAAGGGGGGGAGGCAUGCAGUUAGCAAGUUCAGAAGAGAAGUCAGCGUGAAAAUAUCGAUAGAAGAUAGAAAGAGAGGCAACAUGGCGGCGGAAUUUAAGAGGUAAAAGACUAUCAGUAGGAGGAGGAGAGCUGAUGAGACGAAGAGCCUUUGACUCCACCCUGUCCAGAAGGACUGUGUGAGUGGAGCCCCGGGGCGUAGCCAUAUCUCCUACGCGGCUCCAAAAAUGAGGAUACUGUCAUAUCUCCUACACAUCAUUAGUCAUAUCUCCUACACCAAAAUGGUGCAUGCGGCACAUCUACACCAAAAUGAUACAAACAGGUUAUCUCCUACACAUAAAAUGGAGUACCCACCAUUUCUCCUACACCAAAAUGAUACAAACAGGUUAUCUCCUACACAUAAAAUGGAGUACCCAACGUUUCUCCUACACCAAAAUGGUGCAUGCGGCACAUAUCCUACACAAAAAAACAGUACCCAGCAUAUCUUUUACACAGAGAAUAAUAUUAUUAGGGCCAUGAACAUUAAUUAUUAAUACUCUAACCAUUGCACCACAGAUAAAAUAAGUGUUACACAAGGUCAAGGCCGCACAAAACGUCAGAUUGGCCAUAACUUCGGUUCUCGUCAUCGCAGAGACUUCAGACUUGGUUCAUAUUUUAGCUCAUGGAAAGACGCACCUUGCAUGGCCUUGACCUUGAACUUUGACCUUGACCUCGAAAAGUUCACCCAAGGUUAGUGUUUCCAAAAAAAUAUAAUUUCAUCAAAUUUCGAAACAAAUGCUUCCAUAUGAUGUACCUUGCGUGGCCUUGACCUUGACCUUUGAUCUUGACCUCGAAAAGUUCGCCCAAGGUCAGUUUCCAAAAAAAAAAGAACUUCAUCAAAUUUCUGAACAAAUGCUUCCAUACGAUGCAUAUGAUCACAGUUGAUGCCCAUACUUAUUUUCAGGACGAUCUUUGGCGGAGGUGUGCACUCGCCGAGUGCUAUGCGUCUCGUUGCUUCUCUAUUUAAUCUUCGAGGCUUCUUUCCCCUUCGUCCUUGUCCUCCUUUUAUCUCUUAGUUCACCUAUUCCAUCUUUCUCUCACUCUCUUACUGUCUCUUUCUCUUCCAUUUGGUGCUUCUGCCUCUCAUCUUUCUUUACUCGUCCUCUUCCUCCUCCUCUUUCUCCUUCUUAUUUGCUUCCUCUCCACUUUUCCUUUUUAUAUAGUUUAUUCCACAUCCACCUCGAUUACUUCUUCCUUCUCCUUCGGCCCCUUUCUUGUGGGUCAAAGGGUCUUGUUUAACCAGUCAAAAGAAAAAAAAAAGGAAGAGGAGGAGGAGGAGGACUGAUUAAUAUUAAUUUCUCUUCGUGGUGCUUACAUCAUAAUGAGACAAAAAAGGAUAGAUAAAUAGAUAGAUAGAUAGAUAGAUAAAUAGAGGAAUAGAACAUAUCGAGCACAUAAAACCGUCCUUCAGUAAAUUUUUCUUAAACCAUUGAUAAAAAAAGACGAUACCGAUGAUUGAAUGCAAAGACAAGGUGUGAUAGUGUCUACAGGUAAGGCCUAAUCAGUAUUGCACCUGGCCAUUCAUUAGCGGGGAUGCUAAAGAGGCAAUUAAACGGAAAGCAGUUGAGGAGAAGGAAAGGAGGGUUGAAUCGUCUCUCGAGUCUCUAGAAACUAUUGAAAACCCUAUCUUAAGUUUUUUGUGAUGUCUUCGGCUUCAAGUGGCUGACGGCGAGAGAGAGAGAGAGAGAGAGAGAGAGAGAGAGAGAGAGAGAGAGAGAGAGAGAGAGAGAGAGAGAGAGAGAGAGAGAGAGAGAGAGAGAUUUUCUCUGAGUUUUUUUUUUUUGUUGUUGUUGAAUGACCAAAACUAUAGCCUGUUUCACCAAGAUAUUACAGGCGGCCACGCCACCUAUUUUUCUCUCUUGAUUUUGAUUAGCUCUGUGGCAGGCAAUCACCGGGCAGAACCCGUCAGUUUGCUUCCGCCUUGGCCGCUGGCGUCGCGACUCUGCUAUUUUCUUGGUUUUCAAAAACUAUCUGGAAUACUUUAAGGCCUACCUGUGUUUUCUUACUAGCAUUGCCAUCCUUGAGUCAUUACCUAUAACAUUCAUUCUUUAACACAAGACGACUUAUUAUUUUUUCUCGUAGAUAUCAUGUGAUGAAUGAAGAUACUUCUAUCUAUAUUAAAGUUAACAGUGUACUUAUGGCUGUGUUUUUUUGUCUCAUCAUGAUCUUUGACAGUUUAGGCACUGUACAUGUUCAAUGGUGAAAUUGCGUCGUUAAUAUUUCAUGGUGAUUUUGAGGUGCUAACAUUUUUUUAUGCAUCACAUAGCACUUAGAGGCAGUGUGAGCGCAAAGCAAGCUUCCUGGGCCAAGCAGACGAAACUUUUCCAGCGCGGUGCAUGGCUGCCACUUCGCCAGUCAAAAAUGAAGAUCAUGAAGUGGUGUGGCCGCCUGUAAUCUCUUGGUAAACAGAUUAUGAAAUCUGCAUUACCGGCGUAAUUCACCGCGGCCUGAUCACGUGUUGGACUCGUAAACGCCAGCAGGUACCCUCACGAUAUGAGCAAGUGCUCUUUAUCGUCGAUCUCUGGGUACUGCCAGGACCUCACACACCACACACCCCAUCCCCCUUGCUCAAGGGGGGACAGUAACCACUCUUAGUCAACGGAAAGAAUCCGGUCUGAGCGGGCUCGAACCGCCGCCCUGUCAGACCGUGAAUCUUGGCAGCGCAGCGCUCUAACCAGUUGCGCCACGGAGUGUGUGUGUGUGUGUGUGUGUGUGUGUGUGUGUGUGUGUGUGUGUGUGUGUGUCAGGGGAAUAAUAUACAGGCACUGCGCAAUAAUUUUAUUUCACUCACAAAUUGCCAAGACGUCGUUCAGCGCGAGGUCAUACAAGGCCGUUAUAAGAGUGGUCAGGCGUUCACACAGUCUAGUGAACGCCGACGAUACAAGAGAAAGUGAAAAGGGAAGUCUCGUAAGCGUAGAGUUUUUUCGCACGUCCAAGAAUAGCGCUGAAGAAAUUACACCCAAGACCAGCGCACGUAAAUA